AGAUUAUAAGAAAAACUCCUAUAGUUCUAACGGAUCUAAAUUGUUCGCACAAAUGCGCAGCUUUGAUGUUAUAGGGUUUUUGUGAAAUAAACUACAUAACACUAUAGCUUCUUGGUAAAAAUCAGAUAACACUCACAAUUAUAGGUAAAAUAAUCUGUAUGCUGAAGGCGUACCCCUGUGGCGGAAUAUACACUCAAUAUAGAAAAACUGUAUAGUCAAUUCGUGUUGCAAACCCAUAAUUUAUGUGAAGCUUUAACAUAAUUUGCAUACUAUUCUUUACUUAUGUUCAGUCGGCAACUCAAGAUGUUCAAAUAACUAAAAAGAUUUUAGAAAUAUAUUCUUUCUAUCUUUCAAUAUGGUUUACUGCAAUUUGCGUACUAUCAAAAGAAUGAGGUGUGUAAGAAAUGCUUGCCCUGAGCAGUACAAUGCAAUUUUUUAAUACUUUAACUAUAUCAAUCAAUGUGUAUGCUGUUGUUUUUAUCAAGUAUGAAACAUAUCUCAUCUUGGUUGUUUUGGUCGCUUGUUAUAAACUCAUUUGGCUAGUAAAGCGACUGUUAAUUUUAUGUACAACAUACAAAAAUAAAAUGUUAAC